rnacentral:rRNA from 1 species
GACGAACGCUGGCGGCGUGCUUAACACAUGCAAGUCGAGCGGUAAGGCCCUUUCGGGGGUACACGAGCGGCGAACGGGUGAGUAACACGUGGGUGACCUGCCUCUAGCUCUGGGAUAAGCCCGGGAAACUGGGUCUAAUACUGGAUAUGACUCCAUGACGCAUGUUGUGGGGUGAAAGCCUUGUGCGGCUAGAGAUGGGCCCGCGGCCUAUCAGCUUGUUGGUGGGGGAUGGCCUACCAAGGCGACGACGGGUAGCCGGCCUGAGAGGGCGACCGGCCACACUGGGACUGAGACACGGCCCAGACUCCUACGGGAGGCAGCAGUGGGAAUCUUGCGCAAUGGGCGAAAGCCUGACGCAGCGACGCCGCGUGA